AGUAGGUUCUACUCUGUCAAUGCAGAGCCUGAUCCUGGGCUCAAACUCACAACCAUGAGAUCAUGACCUGAGCCAAAACCAACAGUCAGAUGCUUAACUGACUAAGCCACCCAGGUGCUCCUCCCCUUUGUCCUUUUGAUGUCAUCCAUCUACUUCAAUUUCCCCCAUGGACAUUUCCCUUUGGCAUUAUCAAGCAAUGUCUCUUUAUAGCUUUUUCUGUCUCUGUUUUCUCCUCAAAGUACUAAUUUGUUUUCCUCAAUCUCUUCACCAAAACACUUUAGUACUCAGAAAUAAUUACUAUUUUUAUGACUCUAACAGACUCUUGAUAGUCCUUUCUGUAACAAGUGACACAGACUUACCUCCUCACUGAAACUGUCUUCUGAGACCGAUUUCCUCAGGAGGCUGUUGUGAAUCUUCUAGGAUUCCAGUUCUUUCUGUUCAGUAUUCUCCUCUGUCAUCCCAAUGUCGGUAGGCCUAUGGUUUACCCCCUCCCCGUAGUUAUCAUUUGUGAAUGGACAAUUUCCAAACCUCGAUCUUUUGCUACAACUUUGUCCUGAACUUCGGAAUGGCAUUUGUAAUGGCAUAGUAUACGUUUCUGACUGCAUAUCUUUUAGAUAUCUCCAACUUAGCAAGCACUGCAGGCUUAAAUACCACCACACCACAACAGGGAGAUAUUACUAAACUACAUUUUGCAAGGAAAGUAGUAAUAAUGAUGGUGACUGAUUUUGAAAGAAAAUAAGCAAAUGUGAAAUCUACAUGCUAAGCUAUUUCAGCAAGGCAGAAUUUUUUUAUAUAGGAUGGAUACUGAUUAUUAUAACCAGUGUCUUCAGGGAUAGGCAAUUCUUCCAGAUUAUCUGUCUCACUGAAAAUGCCAUUCAAGAAUAUCACCUCUGUGUUUUUAUUUUAAGCUCUGUAGGCAACUUUUUGAUCUAUAAUUAAAUUGAACAACAGGCAUAUGUCUUAUUGUGACUGGGAUGUAACCAUGGUAUAUUCAUAAACUGGUGUUCUGGUUGGUAAAUGAUUCUCUUGUCAGUUUUCUUGGUGUGAGUCAGUGCUCCAGAGUUGGUGAACUCUAGGUGAACUGUUGAGAUCAAGUUUCUGUAUCUGCCAAACGGAAGAUCAGACUUUGGACUGUGGCAACUGAAAAUAGACUGAAUCUGAGAGGUGAAGCCCAGCUAAAAAGAGAGCUCAUCAUCACCCACUAACGGGUCAAAAUCUACGGUUUGAAGAGUCCUGCAAUGUGGAAGGAAUGUGCAAGCAGGAGUGAGAAUCCUGAGUUCCUUGUUGCUCCACUUUUGAAUGGAAACCUGUACUCUCACCAUCAAAUCAAGGUGAUAGGAUUAAAUCAGAUCAUCUCCACGGCCUCUGUUUCAGUGGAUUGAGGAUUUCCCACCUUGAUACUGGUGAUUUUUCCUCAUCAGGAUUCUGUGACGGGGCACCUGUCUUAGCAGACGACCAGAAAACUCAACACAGGACCAUUGUGCACUUACCUUCUCUGCCAAGGAAAAAAAAAGGUAACGGUUU